CCUACGGGAGGCAGCAGUGAGGAAUCUUGGUCAAUGGGCGCUAGCCUGAACCAGCCAAGUAGCGUGAAGGAUGACUGCCCUAUGGGUUGUAAACUUCUUUUAUAUAGGAAUAAAGUGCAGUAUGUAUACUGCUUUGCAUGUACCUUAUGUAUCAGGAUCGGCUAACUCCGUGCCAGCAGCCGCGGUAAUACGUAGGGUCCGAGGGUUGUCCGGAUGUAUUGGGUUUAAGGGGAGCGUAGGCGGGGUGUUAAGUCAGUUGUGAAAGUGCGCGGCUCAACCGUAAAGUGGCAGUUGAUACUGGCAGCCUUGAGUACAGUAGAGGUGGGUGGAAUUCGUGGUGUAGCGGUGAAAUGCUUAGAUAUAACGAAGAACUCCGAUUGCGAAGGCAGCCUGCUGGACUGUAACUGACGCUGAUGCUCGAAAGUGUGGGUAUCAAACAGGAUUAGAUACCCCAGUAGUC
rnacentral:rRNA from 1 species